GCCUCGCACCGGUACCAGGCGCCCGCCGGAGGACCCAAACAAACUCUUGAAUUCUAACGUAUCUUCUGAGUAACAAAAGUUAAAUAAAUUAAAACUUUCAACAACGGAUCUCUUGGUUCUGGCAUCGAUGAAGAACGCAGCGAAAUGCGAUAAGUAAUGUGAAUUGCAGAAUUCAGUGAAUCAUCGAAUCUUUGAACGCACAUUGCGCCCGCCAGUAUUCUGGCGGGCAUGCCUGUUCGAGCGUCAUUUCAACCCUCAAGCCCAGCUUGGUGUUGGGGAUCGGCACAAGGGAGCCCCCGGGCGCCCCCGCCGUCCCCUAAAUCUAGUGGCGGUCCCGCUGCAGCCACCUCUGCGUAGUAGUUUUCUCCUCGCAAGGGCAGCUCGGCGGCGACCUCGCCGUAAAACCCCCAACUUCUGAAAGUUUGACCUCGAAUCAGGUAGGAAUACCCGCUGAACUUAAGCAUAUCAAUAAGCGGAGGAAAAGAAACCAACAGGGAUUGCCCUAGUAACGGCGAGUGAAGCGGCAACAGCUCAAAUUUGAAAUCUGGCCCUCGGGUCCGAGUUGUAAUUUGUAGAGGAUGCUUUUG
rnacentral:rRNA from 1 species